rnacentral:rRNA from 1 species
AGUACGAUCGCAAGAUUAAAACUCAAAGGAAUUGACGGGGCCCCGCACAAGCAGCGGAGCAUGCGGCUUAAUUCGACGCAACGCGAAGAACCUUACCAAGGCUUGACAUAUAGCGAAAAGUGGCAGAGAUGUCAUGUCCGCAAGGGCGCUAUACAGGUGGUGCAUGGUUGUCGUCAGCUCGUGUCGUGAGAUGUUGGGUUAAGUCCCGCAACGAGCGCAACCCUCGUUCUGUGUUACCAGCAUUCAGUUGGGGACUCACAGGAGACUGCCGGGGUUAACUCGGAGGAAGGUGGGGAUGACGUCAAAUCAUCAUGCCCCUUAUGUCUUGGGCUGCACGCAUGCUACAAUGGCCGGUACAAAGUGCUGCGAAAUCGUAAGAUUUAGCGAAUCACAUAAAGCCGGUCUCAGUUCGGAUUGAGGUCUGCAACUCGACCUCAUGAAGUUGGAGUUGCUAGUAAUCGUAGAUCAGCAACGCUACGGUGAAUACGUUCCCGGGGCUUGUACACACCGCCCGUCACGUCACGAAAGUCGGUAACACCCAAAGUUAGUGGCCCAACCGCAAGGGGGGAGCUACCUAAGGUGGGAUCGGUGAUUGGGACG